UACGAGGGGGGCAAGCGUUGUUCGGAAUUAUUGGGCGUAAAGGGUGCGUAGGCGGUGCGGUAAGUCUGUUGUGAAAUCUCCGGGCUCAACUCGGAGUCUGCAUCAGAAACUGCCGUGCUGGAGUGUGGGAGAGGUGAGUGGAAUUCCCGGUGUAGCGGUGAAAUGCGUAGAGAUCGGGAGGAACACCGACGGCGAAGGCAGCGCCCUGGCCGCCAUCUGACGCUCAGGCACGAAAGCGUGGGUAGCAAACAGG
rnacentral:rRNA from 1 species